rnacentral:rRNA from 1 species
AACUUAAGCAUAUCAAUAAGCGGAGGAAAAGAAACCAACAGGGAUUGCCCUAGUAACGGCGAGUGAAGCGGCAACAGCUCAAAUUUGAAAUCUGGCUCCUUUGGGGUCCGAGUUGUAAUUUGUAGAGGGUGCUUUGGCGUUGGUUGUGGUCUAAGUUCCUUGGAACAGGACGUCACAGAGGGUGAGAAUCCCGUACGUGGCCGCCAGCCUUCGCCGUGUAAAGCCCCUUCGAUGAGUCGAGUUGUUUGGGAAUGCAGCUCUAAAUGGGAGGUAAAUUUCUUCUAAAGCUAAAUAUUUGCCAGAGACCGAUAGCGCACAAGUAGAGUGAUCGAAAGAUGAAAAGCACUUUGGAAAGAGAGUCAAAAAGCACGUGAAAUUGUUGAAAGGGAAGCGCUUGCAGCUAGACGUGCCUUGGGUUGAUCAGCCGGACUUUUGCCCGGUGCACUCUUCCUUUGGCAGGCCAGCAUCAGUUUGGGCGGCUGGAUAAAGGUCUGUUAAACGUGACUUCCUUCGGGGAGAGCUUAUAGGGCAGACGACAUGCAGCCAGCCUGAACUGAGGUCCGCGCAUCUGCUAGGAUGCUGGCAUAAUAGCUGUAAGCGGCCCGUCUUGAAACACGGACCAAGGAGUCUAACAUCUAUGCGAGUGUUUGGGUGUCAAGCCCGAGCGCGUAAUGAAAGUAAACGGAGGUGGGAACCUUUUAGGUGCACCAUCGACCGAUCUUGAUGUCUUCGGAUGGAUUUGAGUAAGAGCAUAGCUGUUGGGACCCGAAAGAUGGUGAACUAUGCCUGAAUAGGGUGAAGCCAGAGGAAACUCUGGUGGAGGCUCGCAGCGGUUCUGACGUGCAAAUCGAUCGUCAAAUUUGGGCAUAGGGGCGAAAGACUAAUCGAACUAUCUAGUAGCUGGUUCCUGCCGAAG